rnacentral:rRNA from 1 species
GAUGAACGCUAGCGGCAGGCCUAAUACAUGCAGGUCGAACGGGUGGUCGCAAGACCACUAGUGGCGCACGGGUGCGUAACGCGUAACCAACCUGCCCCGAUCUGGGGGAUAGCCCGCCGAAAGGCGGAUUAAUACCGCAUAUACCCGCAGCCUGGCAUCAGGCAACGGGGAAAGAUUUAUUGGAUCGGGAUGGGGUUGCGUGACAUUAGCUAGUUGGCGGGGUAAGGGCCCACCAAGGCGACGAUGUCUAGGGGACCUGAGAGGGUGAUCCCCCACACUGGCACUGAGAUACGGGCCAGACUCCUACGGGAGGCAGCAGUAGGGAAUAUUGGGCAAUGGGCGAGAGCCUGACCCAGCCAUGCCGCGUGCCGGAUGAAGGCCUUCUGGGUUGUAAACGGCUUUUCUCAGGGAAGAAAAAGACCUUGCGAGGUACACUGACGGUACCUGAGGAAUAAGCACCGGCUAACUCCGUG